rnacentral:rRNA from 1 species
GACGUAGGGCGCGAGCGUUGUCCGGAAUUAUUGGGCGUAAAGAGCUCGUAGGCGGUUUGUCGCGUCGACUGUGAAAACCCGAGGCUUAACCUCGGGCCUGCAGUCGAUACGGGCAGACUAGAGUUCGGUAGGGGAGACUGGAAUUCCUGGUGUAGCGGUGAAAUGCGCAGAUAUCAGGAGGAACACCGGUGGCGAAGGCGGGUCUCUGGGCCGAUACUGACGCUGAGGAGCGAAAGCGUGGGGAGCGAACAGG